AUUGAACGCUGGCGGCAGGCCUAACACAUGCAAGUCGAACGGUAACAGGAAGAAGCUUGCUUCUUUGCUGACGAGUGGCGGACGGGUGAGUCAUGUCUGGGAAACUGCCUGAUGGAGGGUGAUAACUACUGGAAACGGUAGCUAAUACCGCAUAACGUCGCAAGACCAAAGAGGGGGACCUUCGGGCCUCUUGCCAUCGGAUGUGCCCAGCUGGGAUUAGCUAGUAGGUGGGGUAACGGCUCGACUAGGCGGCGAUCCCUAGCUGGUCUGAGAGGAUGAUCGGCCACACGGGAACUGAGACACGGUCCAGACUCCUAAGAGAGGCAGCAGUGGGCAAUAUUGGACAGUGGGCGCAAGCAUGAUGCAGCCAUGCCGCGUGUAUGAAGAAAGCCUUCGGGUUGUAAAGUACCUUCAGCGGGGAGGAAGGGAGUAAAGUUAAUACCUUGGCUCAUUGACGUUACCCGCAGAAGAAGCACCGGCUAACUCCGUG
rnacentral:rRNA from 1 species